rnacentral:lncRNA from 1 species
AUGUGUCUGCUGUCACUGCUGCUGCAGUUCCUGCCGUCUGGGCCUGCAGGUUUCGACAACACUGGUACGAGUGGGCAUUUAGCUUCUGUUGGAGGAGGAACUGGCCCGUCUGCUGCCCCCAACACUCAAACCCAGCACACCCAAACUCAGACAGCCACCGGCUCUCGUUUUAGGGUGGUGAAACUAGACACUAACUCUGAGCCAUUCCGCAAAGGAAGAUGGACGUGCACAGAGUAUUACGAAAAGGAGCUUCCUCCUCCAACUACAUCUGAGGCACCAAAAGGUGUAGAAGUGGCUGUCGAGACUGAGGCAGGCAACGCUGGGAUUAAUCAGGGCAUAACUGCUGUACAGCCACCUCACACACUUCAGCCCUAUCAGUCGCCGAGCCAGGACUUCACUAGUCCACAAGCGAUGCAGAGUCCACCACAGGGACUUGCUCAAACCACUCCUCUGACCUAUGUUUCACCCCAAGAAGUUGCUGGUGGGGCCCACAUUCAGCAAGGUCCUUUCACUCUCCCUACAACAACACCACAGACCGGGGUAAAUCAGCCUCCCCCUGUAAUACCCCAGCAGCUGCCCUACACUGUGGAUCCCCACCAGGCUCAACCCCAGGGAGGUUACCCUGCACCUCAGUUCCAUUCAGGGGUCAUAGCCCCGGGAAGUGUCCGACAGCCAGACUUCAUCCAGCCCACUGCUCCCUUCCAGACCCAGGUCCAGCCUCCGCUGCCUCAAAGUACAGCAGGAAUCUCUAAUAUAUCACUUCCACAGCCACCGAUCAACAUUAUUCAGCUGCUGUCCCAUCACGGUCAGGUAGCCCCACCUGCCCAGGCAACAUUUGCAGGACAGCCACACCCCCUCCCAACUCAAAUUCACCCCACACAAGUCCAGCCCCCCUCCACUGCUACAGUCCCAGUAGUGCCCACCCAUGGGAGCCCCUACAUGCCUUUGACUGCAUUGCAAGCUGACCUCCAGCCUCUCCUCACCCUGGGUGCGACCCUCACCCAGGUCCCGGGAGGAGGGAGCUCCAUAAGAUCAUCCCAGCUAGGAGGAUGCCCAGCGGCUUCUGCUCCAGCACCAAGGCCUGCUGGCUCUUCCCCGGUUCGGGAUGACAACAGGUGGAGACGGGGAAGCAGAGGUCGGCGGUGCUGCCGGAACGCUGGCCCAUAUGGGGAUGUCGGCUGA